GGCCACAGGGCAUACUCACACGAAAGUCGCAUCUAAAAACCCUGUACGGCAACGACACACGGUCUCAUAUAGCCUAUGCUCUAGGAAACAUUCCUGGCCACCUCUCUGCCCAGUGGCGUUGUACAAAUCGCGCCCAAUAUUGAGAACACUUCGGAAAACUGUGGUGAGAAGCGGUCUGUAGGGCCGGAGGAACCCGGAAGUGAGCUUCGCAUCAGCAUCAGCACGCUUCGAAGGGAACGAAGUCGGUAGACAAGGCUCCUCCAUCAAAGUUUAGCUCCACAGAGUCAGAGGAAUAUGAGUGGGAUGAUAUAGACAUCUGCAUGAGAUCUUCUGGAGAACUUCUGGAGCAGAUGAUGAAGGGGCAGGAUGUCUUCAACAACACAACAGAAUGGGAAGACAGAUGUCAUUCAAUAUGGUGUUUUUUUAUGCUAAUAGCGAAGAAGCAGGCUAUUAAUUAUCUUAGUAUGCAUACAUAGACUGUUGAUUUGUACAAAAGGUGCAACCGAAUAUGUAGUACACGUAUAUGCAGAACUAAAAAUAUAAGUAGUAAUUAAGACAUGUAACGUUAGAUAAAUUUUCUCUAAUAUUCUCAAUACAAAU